rnacentral:rRNA from 2 species
UAGGGAAUCUUCGUCAAUGGGGGGAACCCUGACCGAGCAACGCCGCGUGAGUGAAGAAGGUUUUCGGAUCGUAAAGCUCUGUUGUUAAGGAAGAACGAGUGUGAGAAUGGAAAGUUCAUGCUGUGACGGUACUUAACCAGAAAGGGACGGCUAACUACGUGCCAGCAGCCGCGGUAAUACGUAGGUCCCGAGCGUUGUCCGGAUUUAUUGGGCGUAAAGCGAGCGCAGGCGGUUAGAAAAGUCUGAAGUGAAAGGCAGUGGCUCAACCAUUGUAGGCUUUGGAAACUGUUUAACUUGAGUGCAGAAGGGGAGAGUGGAAUUCCAUGUGUAGCGGUGAAAUGCGUAGAUAUAUGGAGGAACACCGGUGGCGAAAGCGGCUCUCUGGUCUGUAACUGACGCUGAGGCUCGAAAGCGUGGGGAGCGAACAGG